rnacentral:rRNA from 1 species
CAGUAGCCGCGGUAACACGAAGGUCCCAAGCGUUGUUCGGAAUCACUGGGCGUAAAGGGAGCGCAGGCGGCGUGGUAAGUCAGAUGUGAAAUCCCGGGGCUCAACCCCGGAACUGCAUCCGAUACUGCCAUGCUUGAGGGUUGGAGAGGUGACUGGAAUUCUCGGUGUAGCAGUGAAAUGCGUGGAUAUCGAGAGGAACACUCGUGGCGAAGGCGAGUCACUGGACAACAUCUGACGCUGAGGCUCGAAGGCUAGGGUAGCGAAAGGGAUUAGAUACCCCCGUAGUCCCUGUCUCUUAUAC